CAACCAUCAAGCCCCCGGCUUGUGUUGGGGACCUGCGGCUGCCGCAGGCCCUGAAAACCAGUGGCGGGCUCGCUAGUCACUCCGAGCGUAGUAAUUACACCUCGCACCGGAUAGACACGAAGUCCACGCCGUAAAACAACCCAAUUUCUGAA
rnacentral:misc_RNA from 1 species